UGGGGAAUAUUGCACAAUGGGCGCAAGCCUGAUGCAGCCAUGCCGCGUGUGUGAAGAAGGCCUUCGGGUUGUAAAGCACUUUCAGCGAGGAGGAAGGUGGUGAGCUUAAUACGCUCAUCAAUUGACGUUACUCGCAGAAGAAGCACCGGCUAACUCAGUGCCAGCAGCCGCGGUAAUACGGAGGGUGCAAGCGUUAAUCGGAAUUACUGGGCGUAAAGCGCACGCAGGCGGUUUGUUAAGUCAGAUGUGAAAUCCCCGGGCUCAACCUGGGAACUGCAUUUGAAACUGGCAAGCUAGAGUCUCGUAGAGGGGGGUAGAAUUCCAGGUGUAGCGGUGAAAUGCGUAGAGAUCUGGAGGAAUACCGGUGGCGAAGGCGGCCCCCUGGACGAAGACUGACGCUCAGGUGCGAAAGCGUGGGGCAGCAAACAGGAUUAGAUACCCUGGUAGUCCACGCUGUAAAACGAUGUCGAUUUUGGAGGUUGUGCCCUUGAGGCGUGGCUUCCGGAGCUAACGCGUUAAAUCGACCGCCUGGGGAGUACGGCCGCAAGGUUAAAACUCAAAUGAAUUGACGGGGUCAUAGCUG
rnacentral:rRNA from 1 species